UCAGUAACACGUAGUCAACAUGCCCAGGGGACGUGAAUAACCUCGGGAAACUGAGGAUAAACCGCGAUAGGUCACUACUUCUGGAAUGGGUAAUGACCCAAACCUAUAUGGCCCCUGGAUUGGACUGCGGCCGAUCAGGCUGUUGGUGAGGUAAUGGCCCACCAAACCUGUAACCGGUACGGGCUCUGAGAGGAGGAGCCCGGAGAUGGGCACUGAGACAAGGGCCCAGGCCCUAUGGGGCGCAGCAGGCGCGAAACCUCUGCAAUAGGCGAAAGCUUGACAGGGUUACUCUGAGUGAUUUCCGUUAAGGAGAUCUUUUGGCACCUCUAAAAAUGGUGCAGAAUAAGGGGUGGCAAGUCUGGUGCCA
rnacentral:rRNA from 1 species